AGGAGGUAAAAAUGUAAAAA
rnacentral:misc_RNA from 1 species